CCUACGGGUGGCAGCAGUGGGGAAUAUUGCACAAUGGGGGAAACCCUGAUGCAGCGACGCCGCGUGAGUGAAGAAGGAAUUCGGUAUGUAAAGCUCUAUCAGCAGGGAAGAAAGUGAUGGUACCUGAGUAAUAAGCCCCGGCUAACUACGGGCCAGCAGCCGCGGUAAUACGUAGGGGGCAAGGGUUAUGCGGAUUUACUGGGUGAAAAGGGAGUGUAGACGGCAGGGCAAGUCAGGAGUGAAAGCCGGGGGCUAAACCCGCGGACUGCUCUGGAAACUGGACGGCUGGAGUGCAGGAGAGGUAAGUGGAAUUCCUAGUGUAGCGGUGAAAUGCGUAGAUAUUAGGAGGAACACCAGUGGCGAAGGCGGCUUACUGGACUGAAACUGACGUUGAGGUUCGAAAGCGUGGGGAGCAAACAGGAUUAGAUACCCUGGUAGUC
rnacentral:rRNA from 1 species